GACGAACGCUGGCGGCGUGCUUAACACAUGCAAGUCGAACGGAAAGGCCCUGCUUUUGUGGGGUGCUCGAGUGGCGAACGGGUGAGUAACACGUGAGUAACCUGCCCUUGACUUUGGGAUAACUUCAGGAAACUGGGGCUAAUACCGGAUAGGAGCUCCUGCUGCAUGGUGGGGGUUGGAAAGUUUCGGCGGUUGGGGAUGGACUCGCGGCUUAUCAGCUUGUUGGUGGGGUAGUGGCUUACCAAGGCUUUGACGGGUAGCCGGCCUGAGAGGGUGACCGGCCACAUUGGGACUGAGAUACGGCCCAGACUCCUACGGGAGGCAGCAGUGGAGAAUAUCGCACAAUGGGCGGAAGCCUGAUGCAGCAACGCCGCGUGCGGGAUGACGGCCUUCGGGUUGUAAACCGCUUUCGCCUGUGACGAAGCGUGAGUGACGGUAAUGGGUAAAGAAGCACCGGCUAACUACGUG
rnacentral:rRNA from 1 species